ACAUAUUGCCGGCCCAUUGCCGAGCGAGAGUGAACGGUUUCCGUACCGUGAUUCUGCUUGACAUCUUUGCGUUGAUGUUCAGAUUCCCAGCAAAAGCUUUGUUUCUGAGCUGCCCCCAGUUUCACAGGGGUGAUGACACGAGUUUGUUUUUGGACACAUAUUGAAAAACGAAGUCGAUUUUCCAACACUGAAUCAACAUGAUCAACUCGCCGCCAAACAAUAUGGUGCCACAGUCUAUUUAUGCCGAUUUGCAAUGAUUUUCCACCAUCUUUUCAAGAAAGGGGAAGCUUUAUGCAUGCGCACUAGUUUGCCCUGCUAUCUCCUCAAAAUUAAAGAUUCUGCAGAAGUAAGCCAACUUCGGCUACAAGCGACAGCUGAAAGGAACUGGCAAAUUGGUUAAUGAACUUCUACACCAUCAUAUGCACAUGUAGUGCAAGACCAUCACAGAAGUUUCAAUUUUUCCCCAAAAGGAUGAUCACUUUAAAUCCAAUCAUUACAUACAUGUAUAUGUGUGAAUUCUACCAAGUGUUGCACAAAAAGGAUUCUCAGGAAAAUCUAAAAAUAAGCAUUUGUUUCAGAGAAUCUGGCCAGUAUAAUUUUGUAGAUUAAAAUGGGUCCUUCUAUAAAUUUUAGUCCAGUUUUCUUGUCCCAGUUUUGUCUGGCGUAUGAUGUUUUCACCCUUUAAUAAGACUGAAUAAGUACUGCAAAUUACCUGUUAAACAAAUUUAGUUUGAACUCGAUUUCAGUGAUAUGUCCCUUGUCCAUGUAUAUGUAUACAGUUAGGUAUAACAGGGAUGGAAAAUGUCACACGAGACCCCAAAUUUAUACAAUGGCCCAGAUUUCAGCGUUUAUUAAAUUAUGAACAUGGAAGGAAUUUCUUGCCUGAGUAACCAUAGGUUGUUUUCACGAAUAGUCUACAUUUUGUUUGCGCCCAACAAUUGAGGGUCUAAGAAGGGAUCAAAGCCCAUGGUAAACAGUUUAAGGUAAUUAGCACUUAGUCCUUUAAUGACUCUUUUCCUUCCAGAUUUGUCCCCUGCAUAUCAUCCCCUGCAUAUCGGCAACAUCUUCUUGAUCACUCUUUUGUCUUGUCCGACAACCUCCGUAAGCUGUUUUCCAUCUCUCAAGGUCUCCCAGGUCUGUUGUUUAAGAAAAAAAACUUGAACUUGAACUGGCCCAACAAGAAGAGGUCCGGUUGCGUUAGGUUCAGAGAUCUUAUUAGAGGCUAUCCCACAGGAUUAUUUUAUGCAGUGACAAUGUGUUCAAAGAAAUCCACGAGGCAUUCUGUUUUUAGGCAAGACAGGGCAGUGAUCACUUGUACUAAUUCCAAUAUGCCGAGAAUGGCGCAGGUCUGCUCGGGAAAACAUGACGGUCAUGCAUGUUGAGUAAAAAUGUUGAAUUAUUUCUUGAGGAAGUUAUAGUCAUCUAGGUGCACUCUACGGUGUGCUUCUCGUGGUCUCUGAUUCUUCUAAACUCUCCUUUUUGCAUCGAAGCUGAGGUAGGAGUUAAAUUUAACUAAAAUUGGGUACACUGCGUUCUUUAAAUUCACAUGAACAGAACAAUUUGAAUUCUCCAUACGAAAAACACUGUUGUUAUACC
rnacentral:lncRNA from 1 species